rnacentral:miRNA from 1 species
CGAUAGUAUUCUAGCUCAACUCUC